GAGCACGUAGCUCAGUUGGUAGAGCAAUUGACUUUUAAUCAGUAGGUCAUGGGUUCGAAUCCCAUCGUGCUCACCA
rnacentral:tRNA from 1 species